GUGUUAAAGGUUGUGUGUGUUAUAAGUGUGUGUUAAAGGUUGUGUGUGUUAAAGUGUGUGUGUUAUAGGUUGUGUGUGUUAAAGUGCGUGUUAAAGGUUGUGUGUGUUAAAGGUUGUGUGUGUUAAAGGUUAGGGGUUAAAGGUUGUGUGUGUUAUAGGUUGUGUGUGUUAUAGGUUGUGUGUGUUAAAGGUUGUGUGUUAAAGGUUGUGUGUGUUAAAGGUUGUGUGUUAAAGGUUGUGUGUGUUAAAGGUUGUGUGUGUUAAAGGUUGUGUGUGUUAAAGGUGUGUGUUAUAAGUGUGUGUUAAAGGUUGUGUGUGUUAAAGGUUGUGUGUGUUAAAGGUUGUGUGUUAAAGGUUGUGUGUUAAAGGUUGUGUGUGUUAAAGGUUGUGUGUGUUAAAGGUUGUGUGUUAAAGGUUGUGUGUGUUAAAGGUUGUGUGUGUUAAAGGUUGUGUGUGUUAUAAGUGUGUGUUAAAGGUUGUGUGUGUUAAAGGUUGUGUGUGUUAAAGGUUGUGUGUGUUAUAAGUGUGUGUUAAAGGUUGUGUGUGUUAAAGGUUGUGUGUGUUAAAGGUUGUGUGUGUUAUAAGUGUGUGUUAAAGGUUGUGUGUGUUAUAAGUGUGUGUUAAAGGUUGUGUGUGUUAAAGGUUGUGUGUUAAAGGUUGUGUGUUAAAGGUUGUGUGUGUUAAAGGUUGAGUGUGUUAAAGGUUGUGUGUUAAAGGUUGUGUGUGUUAAAGGUUGUGUGUGUUAAAGGUUGUGUGUGUUAAAGGUUGUGUGUGUUAUAAGUGUGUGUUAAAGGUUGUGUGUGUUAAAGGUUGUGUGUGUUAAAGGUUGUGUGUGUUAAAGGUUGUGUGUGUUAAAGGUUGUGUGUGUUAUAAGUGUGUGUUAAAGGUUGUGUGUGUUAAAGGUUGUGUGUGUUAAAGUGUGUGUGUUAAAGGUUGUGUGUGUUAAAGCUUGUGUGUGUUAAAGGUUGUGUGUGUUAAAGGUUGUGUGUGUUAUAAGUGAGUGUUAAAGGUUGUGUGUGUUAUAAGUGUGUGUUAAAGGUUGUGUGUGUUAAAGUGUGUGUGUUAAAGGUUGUGUGUGUUAAAGGUUGUGUGUUAAAGGUUGUGUGUGUUAUAAGUGUGUGUUAAAGGUUGUGUGUGUUAAAGUGUGUGUGUUAAAGGUUGUGUGUGUUAACGGUUGUGUGUGUUAAAGGUUGUGUGUGUUAAAGGUUGUGUGUGUUAUAAGUGUGUGUUAUAAGUGUGUGUUAUAAGUGUGUGUUAAAGGUUGU